rnacentral:rRNA from 1 species
GACUGCCGGCUAAAAGUCGGAGGAAGGUGGGGAGUGACGUCAAAUCAUCAUGCCCCUUAUGACCUGGGCUACACACGUGCUACAAUGGGCGGUACAAAGGGUCGCGAACCCGCGAGGGGGAGCCAAUCCCAAAAAAGCCGCUCUCAGUUCGGAUUGCAGGCUGCAACUCGCCUGCAUGAAGCCGGAAUCGCUAGUAAUCGCGGAUCAGCAUGCCGCGGUGAAUACGUUCCCGGGCCUU